GACGAACGCUGGCGGCGUGCUUAACACAUGCAAGUCGAACGGAAAGGCCCUGCUUUUGUGGGGUGCUCGAGUGGCGAACGGGUGAGUAACACGUGAGUAACCUGCCCUUGACUGUGGGAUAACUUCAGGAAACUGGGGCUAAUACCGGAUAGGAGCUCCUGCUGCAUGGUGGGGGUUGGAAAGUUUCGGCGGGUGGGGAUGGACUCGCGGCUUAUCAGCUUGUUGGUGGGGUAGUGGCUUACCAAGGCUUUGACGGGUAGCCGGCCUGAGAGGGUGACCGGCCACAUUGGGACUGAGAUCCGGCCCAGCCUCCUACGGGAGGCAGCAGUGGGGAAUAUUGCACAAUGGGCGGAAGCCUGAUGCAGCACCGCCGCGUGCGGGAUGACGGCCUUCGGGUUGUAACCCGCUUUCGCCUGUGACGAAGCGUGAGUGACGGUAAUGGGUAAAGAAGCACCGGCUAACUACGUG
rnacentral:rRNA from 1 species